UAUAUUCGUAAUAUUCUCAAG
rnacentral:piRNA from 1 species